AUUCACUGAAAAUAUCUGGAAGCUUGUGUUGUGUCCAUAGGGAGAUUCAUCACCCCCAGCUUCAGGACCCUCAAUUCAACACCUACAGCUCCUUUCUGGAUGGGUGAAAUCCAGGCCAAUAGAC